UGUGUGCGUCCUCCGCGCUACUGGGUGGGUAGCCCGUGGAUUGCUGCGCGUAAGGCCUGGCGAGGUGGCGGCAGGAUACAAUCGAGUUGCUGCGGUCGCUAUAAGGAGCUCCUUGUGAACAGCGCCAUUUUAAGUCUCUCUCUUAUACCCUCUCAGACGGUUCAGCGAUAGCGGCCGCGGCGGACGGCGAGAACCGGUACGAGUUCCGUAGAAAGGGGAAAGGUGGAAACUCCUUGAGUGGCCCGUGUUUGCCCAGAAAAAUAACAAGAGCAACAAAGGCAGUCAUAGCUGAAGGCACGACCUUGCGCUUCGCCUUCCCGCCGGGUCUGAAGUGAAACAGACCACAGUUCUGGGAAUAUAUUAAAAAAAUGGCAACUCAAGCUGAUUUAAUGGAGUUGGAUAUGGCAAUUGAGCCAGACAGAAAAGCAGCUGUCAGUCAUUGGCAGCAACAGUCAUACCUAGAUUCUGGCAUCCAUUCUGGUGCCACAACCACAGCUCC